rnacentral:rRNA from 1 species
CCUAACACAUGCAAGUCGAACGGUAACAGGAAGAAGCUUGCUUCUUUGCUGACGAGUGGCGGACGGGUGAGUAAUGUCUGGGAAACUGCCUGAUGGAGGGGGAUAACUACUGGAAACGGUAGCUAAUACCGCAUAACGUCGCAAGACCAAAGAGGGGGACCUUCGGGCCUCUUGCCAUCGGAUGUGCCCAGAUGGGAUUAGCUAGUAGGUGGGGUAACGGCUCACCUAGGCGACGAUCCCUAGCUGGUCUGAGAGGAUGACCAGCCACACUGGAACUGAGACACGGUCCAGACUCCUACGGGAGGCAGCAGUGGGGAAUAUUGCACAAUGGGCGCAAGCCUGAUGCAGCCAUGCCGCGUGUAUGAAGAAGGCCUUCGGGUUGUAAAUA